AAACAUUUGAGAGCCUACUCUGUGUUAGAACUGUUACUCUUAGGAAAUUGAGGCAGCCCUACUGCUUGGGUACAAAAAAUUUGCAGAGACAGCCUAGGAGCUGAAUCUUGAGCUUGUCCAUGGACCCACAAAAGAAGUCAGAAAGAAGAGGCAGGCCAAUUCCCUAGAUGGGUUCUUUCUUUCCAGUCACCUUAUUUUCUUCCUGUUUCUUUCUCUCUCCCUGUAUCAAAUACUAUUCUUUCCUACCGUGCCUGAAACUUCACACUUUUAUUCAUUGGAUUCUCUUGAUGGGAAAAUUUAUUAAAUGUUUGCCAAGGUGUGGGAUGGAUAAGAAAAGAAGGAAUAAUGGUAAAUGAGAAUUCAUUUCAUUUUUGUAUUUCGUCUUACAUUUACCCUUAAAAUACGCUUAAAAGUUAGGAGGAUGGGAAAUAUACACUAAGUGAUUAGGCAACAGGAAAAUACAUUAUCAAUAUCAAACAAUAUCAAAAUAUAUUACAAACGGUAUAUAGUUGAAACAACAAUGAGGCAUCUGCAUGAUGCUUUCAAGUUUAUGGAGCAUGUUUUCCCCCAUCAAUAAUUUAAAUUGUUUGCUCGACUAUAUGAUAAGGAUACCAGUUCAGAGAGGAAAGAACAAGCUGCUUAAGCCACAUUUUGUGAACCUGAGCUUGAUCCAAUAACUGACACCAACCAUUGUGCUCUUGCUACCAUCCAAAGCUGCCAUGUAUAAAGGUCAACAAAGUUAUGGCUGAGGGACUACAGAAAGCAGCCUGGGUGAUUGGAUCUGAACCUGCAGGGAUAGGCAGGAGCUGGAUGAGAAAGAACUUAAGUUGUAGAAGAGCAAGAACAGAGAGGUCUGGAGUUAAGAGCAAUAGACAGCAAGCCCCACUGAGGAGAGAAUAUUCACAGUCAGAGGGAGAUGACUUCACAAAUAAGCGACUUAGUGAGGACCUUUAGGAUGAAGGUUCCAGAAUGAAGAGUAUGGCUUGACUUGACUCACAGAAGAGAACCAUGAGAGAUUCUAAAACAGAAUGCAAGCCAUGUUUCAGGAAGACUAACCUGGGGAUGGGGAGCACAGGAGGUACAGGGGCAGGAGAAGAAAGCGAGACAGAAUGAAAGCAAAGGAACCAGAUAUUUCCAUUUAAAGAUGAGACUAAAUUUCUAGGAAGGCAAUCAACUGAACUAAUAUAUAACACCUGUAUUUUGUAAUACACGCAUGCACCCACCCUCUUUGCUUUGAAUGGCUUCUACUUGUCUGUCCAGCUGGAGGUAAACAAGAUUGGAAGUAAUCAAAGACACCUGACAGUAAUCAAGGCCUCCUUAUUGUAAGGGCUCCAUUGCCUUCCUGAUCAUGAACUGCCAACUCUCUCCCAAAAUAUCGGCAGAGAAACAUUAUAAACAGGAAGGAAGAAGGAACUUUGUUUCAGAAGCUACAGUAAAGCAUCGGCCUUUCCAAAUGGUUCAGAGCCACUGUGUACAGUUCCGUCUGCUGUUAAAAAUCUGUUUUCAGGAGAUUAGACACCACCACACACACGUACCUUCAAUUACUAGAGAGUCAUAAUAAUGGUUUUAUUUCCUUUUAACUAUCCACUAUUAGGCCCACGAGAGAGGAGGGGAGAGUGAGAGAGAAAAAGGGUAGGAGAGGGACUUGACAGAAGGGAAAAUAAGUCCCUUCCAGGUAGACAAGCUUCAAGUUAAUGAAGUGUUCCUGUAGCAAGAUUCUCAACAAGAUGUGAGACAUUCCUCUGUCCCUGGGGGGUCCCACCAUGGAAACUUGGGUUUGUAAAAAGCCCCCUUUAAAUGUGCCUUUCAGAACUGAAUAUACCAGAUGCGAUGGAGUGGGGCCGACCCAGAUUUAAGUGGGCUGCGGCCAUCCUUCCAUCCCUGAUGAGGAUGGCAGGCUGUACUCCAACUCCACCUUGACCUCAGGCUAAGACUCAAGUCCAGUCAACGAAGUCUAGUGUCGAUCAGUACUCACCCACACGCCACGGGGUAGAAUCAUAAAUACCCUCUCCUACCAAAUCUGAUACCCAACUGCCUUCCCCACUAUGCUUUUGAACAAACCCUUCAUUCCAGGUAGGCCAGCCUACCCACUUUCUGUACGAUUUUUGUAUUUUGAACUUUUUAUUAGGAACAUAAUUCUUAACACAUACAAAGUAUCAAAAAUUGUUUAAGGAAGCCCCAAUGUAUCCUUCACUUAGCUUCAGCAAUUAUCAACUCCUAUCACACCCAUGCCCAGGAUUAUUUUGAGUCCUCGUGGAUAUAUCAUUUCAUCCACAAUUAUUUCAGUAUCGUAGCCAUUCUUCCCUGCACACCUCUGCUUAGACAGUUCCUCUUCCCAUCCCUAUCUUUCCUAAUUCUAUGUCAUCCUGCAAGGCUCAGCUCAGGUCUAAACUCCUACGUUGUUUCCACUGAACUUAUCACUUAGUCAUGUCACGUUGGGACAUCUCUUUUGUUGCUAUUUUUUGUGUUCCUUACCCCUUAAAUUGUUCACUUACAACAAUGUCCUUAGCCUGGAAAGCAGGAAACCUCUCUCAGCAUACAUAUACAGCAAUAACAGAUGCUUAGAAGGGACAGAACUAAAUAAGAGCAUUAAAUUUGGUGGCGCAGUUUUACAGAGUAUAUUGACAUAAUUCCUUUUACGAGAAAUGUCUCAUAGCACAGACCAGGGUAUGUUGACACAGUAUGACAAGGCAAAAAUAACACUGGGUGUGGAGUUAAAAGGCCUGAGUUCUUGUCCCCACCCUUCUGUUUUGUCCAUUAUUUGGGGUCUGAGGGACUUACAAGCCCACCCAUAAAAUAGGAAUUAACUGCAGCCAUCCUUCCUCUUUCCCUUACAGGACUGUCAGAACUGAAUGCAGUUACACAUGUAAAAGUAGGUUUGUAAUUGAUAGAGCAUGUUGUUAAUACACAUCAUUAUUGGCAAAUGAGGAAUAUUUGGUCAUAUGACUUGAAACCAAGGAAAAUUACUGCUUUAGAUCUGGAAUGUAGGAGGAAACAUUAAGUCCUUAAUAGGGAAAAUGGGAAUGUGAUAGAUCAGGUGGGAUCAGGUGGGAUUCAGAAUGAACAAAAUUAACUCUGGGAGGAAUAGAAAAGCAUAUCUUUCCUUCUGAGACUUGAAAAACCAUGGCCUUGCAAUUAAAACAAAUUGACGGAGCCCUAAAAAGAAAUUGCAAAGGAAGCAAGAUAUGUUGUUAGCUAUUUAAAAAGAAUCCUGUUACAUGAAAUAAUUAAAUGGAAAGGCAAAAUUCAUCUGAUUCCCUCCAAAAAAACUACAGAAUUAUCCAACAAAGUCAUUGUCAUUCUAAGUUUAUGCUCUUCUAGGACAUUGUCAAAGCCUUUGGCCUCUCAAUUUUGCAGUUUGCUUUGCCAAAAGGAAUAAUCGUUAAUACUAAACUUCAAAUAUUUAUCAUAUCACACCAAACACUGCUUAAAUUACAGUGGAAUGGAGGUCUCUCCUCCCAGUAGAAAAGAGGAUAGAUGGCUUUUAUCAAGGAAACACUGUUCUCUGUACCGCACUAUAAGCUGCACUAGUGUCCUGGGAGAGACGUUCAGCCUAGCUUUGCCAUCCAUUGCAAUAUUAAGUUUCCUUGCAAGAAAAGGAAAAUUACUAGGGUUGGAGAAAAGGCUGACAUUUUAUAAAACUCUAAAUAAUCUUGGGGCACUUGGGUGGCUCAGUCAGUUAAGUGUCUUGCCUUCGGCUCAGGUCAUGAUCCUAGGGUCCUGGGAUUGAGCCCAGAGUCAUGGGCUCCCUGCUUAGUGGGGAGUUUGCUUCUCUCUCUCCCUCUCCUGUUACCCCUGCCUGCUUGUGCUCUCUCUCUCUCUGUCAAAUAAAUAAAAUCUUAAAAAAAAAAAAACAACAAAAAAAAACCCAAACCAAAAUCCUGACGUAAUUUUGGCCAAGGUAGAAAAAACAGUUUUUCAACUUUGGACAUUAAUGUAAUUUAGCAAUAGUCAGUGAAAACAACAGCUGCUAAACCUGGUAAAUCCAAAUAAGAUUAUUAGGUUAAAAUCACAGAAAUACGCAGAGGAUAUUUCAAAAUUCCCAGCACACUGACAACAAAGCACCAAAGCAGAAUAUCAUUAGCAAAGGAAACAUUUUGUUUAAAAGUAAGUUUUUUAUAAGAUUUCACCAUGUGUAACUUCUCUAAGGACUUCCCUGGAGAGAAAAAACAAGAAUCCAUCUCUCACAUAGACCCACUUAAAAUAAGGAAAUUAAUAAGUCAUUGCUUCUGUUACCUUCAUGAACAACAACCCCACAAAGGAAUUCUAGAACUUCUAACAAAUAUAAAGAAUUUUAUAAUGUCUCAACUUGCAUGACUUUAGGUACUGUACCCACUAUGGUCAAUUUGCAUGUAAGAUUUUUCAAGGUUAAAAAAAUCUACCUAUCUCCAAAUAUCCAUUCAAAAUGUGAAACCAUAGUUUUGGGGGGUUUGGUUUUCUUUUUUACUUGUCCAUCUGCUGAAUAAUUCAAAAUUGAAUUCUGGGGAAUGGGAAGAUAGAAAACUUUCAGGCUAAACAAUAAUUCAAAGGCUUUUCUGACCUGGUGCUGGGGCAGGUCUAAUUUCUCCUAAUUUGUCUAUAGUGUGCUUAUUUGAUCCAUAAUUAUACAAGUCUAAUUUGUCAGCAUUAAGCAAUUUGACUGUACUUUAAAAAUGACCAGGAGAAAGCCCAUUUAAGUCUAGUUAACUGAAAUGACAAAUUAUAAAUUAUCCAAAGAAUCAGGUAGAACUUGCCCUACAAGUCCCUCCUAGGUAAGUAAGACAAAAACAAGCCCAGUUUGGGAAUACUUCGGCCCCAAGUAGCUGAGGUGAGGCUGAAGGAGUUGAAUAGGUGCGGUUUAUUAUAAGAAUCUCGGAAGCUGGUGCUCGUCCCAAGGUAACCUUAUGUUAAAUAUUCUCAACCCUUUACGUCAAUUAACUGAUUUAAUGCGUCCAACAACUCCAUGGGGUUAUCUUUGCAGAUGAAGCAAUGGAAGCAGACUUGAUUUACCUAAGCCUGCACAACUAGUAAACUCGUAACUAACACUGGCAUGAACGGGAAUAAUCUUCCAAGAGAUCUUUGAGAAGGAUAAAAAGUAGCUUACCUAGUGGAACCAACAAAAGAUGAAAUAUGCAGUUGUUCAUGUCCUCGUUCAUUCAGUAAUAAGCACAGCAGAAGUCUGAGCAAAGUGACUGAGCAGAGUGAACUUGAAUCCUGCCUACCAUCUGCCUUAACUUUAGCCAAGCUACACAGUCUGUCAGAAUGCCAGCUUCUUAAUUGCAGAAAUAGAAAUAAUUCUACCUGGCCUACUUUCUACCUUCACAUUGAUGAUACCAUCAAAAGCAAUGGAAACUCCCACGGCAUAGGAGGGAUCAGAGAACAGUUGCCCACAAAGGAGUAAACUCCUCACAAAGACAGGCUCUGUUCUCCUCUGGCUACAGAACAUACCCCAUGUGCCCACAGUUUUCAGGGCUUCUGGAAGAUGAGGAGCUGUCCUGUGUGGAGUGAUUACCUGGUGUCAGCGGACCUCUCCUGUGCAGAGAGUCCUUAUUCUUGCCACAGAACAGAUAUUACUUCCUCCAAGUCUCUUCUCAUUUCUAGUCACAGGAUAUCCAUGCUUAGAAGCUGUAUUAAUCCAUUUGGGCUGCCAUAACACACUACUACAGAUUGGGGGGGGGGCUUCAUCAAGAAACUAAGUUCUCACACUUCUGGAGGCUGAGAAGUCCAAUAUUAAGAUGCCAGGAAGAUUCAGUGUCUGAUUAGAACUUCUUGGUUCACAGACAAAUAUCUUCUCCACCACAUCCCCUCACACGGUAGGAGGAAUAGGCAGUCUCUGGAUUCUCUAAGGGUUCUCCCCCAUGACCUCAUCACCUCCCAAAGGCCCUACUUCUUAAUACUAUCACCUUGGGGAUUAGGUUUCAACAUAUGAAUUUGGGAGAAACAGUCUACAGCAAAAUCAAUGAUUUUCUUAAAAGUUCUAUUAAGGAUAAAUAGAAUCUUCAAAAAAAAAGUUCUAUUAAUACGUGUAUUCAUCAGUACUCUGAAAUUUGAGGCUUUGCGGGGGACCCAAUAUGUAACCAAGAGGGAACUUAUUCUAUUCCUUCUAUGAAUAAUGAUUCACAAGUUAGGAGCAACAAUCAAACCAGUGAAACUUUGGUGAGCAUAGUUUGUAUUAAGUAAUUGCCACAGGAUCCUUGUGAUGAAAGGAAAUAGGACAAUUUAACCUUACCACUUCUUUCUCAAGUUUCUUUUGUAUUAGUCUCCUCUCUUCCAACCCCACUGCUCUACUUGGUCUCCCAAGAUGACCUCUCUUACCUUAGCUGCUGGUAUUACUUCCCAAAAAAUCUGAUGUCACCUUUGGCUUAAAAUCUUCCUUGUGUCUCCUCCUAAUGAGGUUGUAUGCUUGCUGAUAGGGUUAAAAAUGUACCUCUAAGCCCACCCCAGGCGGAGACUGAGCCAGAAUCGGCACUGAGUGUUCCAACUCCCACUCCCAGCUUGUCUUCAUUCAUUCCAUGAAGGGGGAAAGCUGCCAUUGGUGGUGAGGUGUACACUGUGUAGGUAUUUAAGAAGUCAUUGAGUGUGGGAUUGACUCGAAGUAUAUUUUCACAUCAGUGUGAAAGCCAUUAUAGCAGAUAACAAAACUGGCAAAAUGUAGGUUCAUCAGGUAAAAAGAAGGGAGCCACAUGGCCAAAGAAAUAAGAAGUUACAAUUGGAAGGUAUUUCAAGGUAUUGCUCUCAAGACACAGGGCAAUAGAUGCCUGGAAGCUUCAGCUUCCUUUAGUUCCAAAAAUGUGUCAUGCUUGGGGACUUUAUAUCUAAAACACUGUGCUAAAUUAUUUUACCCUGUACAUGUCCCUUAAAUAUAUAGAUAAAAGCAAAGCAAAACCUAAAAAGUAACAAUAAACCAAAAAAUAAUUCUCCAGGCAUGCCUGGGUGGCUUAGUCGGUUAAGCAUCUGACUCCUGAUUUUGGCUCAGGUCAUGUCAGGGUCGUAAGACUGAGCCCCAUGUUGGGCUCUGUGCUAGGUGAGGAGCCUGCUUAAGAUUCUCACUCUUGGGGCGCCUGGGUGGCUCAAUCAGUUAAACCUCUGACUUCAGCUCAGGUCAUCAUCUCAGGGUCCUGAUAUCAAACCCUGUGUCUGCUCAGCAGGGUGUCUGCUCGUCCCUCUCCCUCUGCUUUCUGCUCCUUUCCUUGCCUGUGUUCCCUGUCUCUCUCAAAUAAAAUCUUAAAAAAAAAAAUUAUCUCCCUUGCUCUCUAAAAAAAUAAAUAAAAAAUAAAAAUAAUUGUCCAGAACAUGGAGUAACUGAAAUAUUUUGUUUACUCUUUGGAUGAUUCAUUAGGAGCUCUCAAGAAUAUGAUACAUGGAGAUAUAAUAUAUGAAAGAAUAAACAUGCAUGUGGAGGGAUAAAAAAAUACCUUUCGGGGGGCACCUGGCUGGCUCCAAUCAGCAAAGCAUGUGACCCUUG